rnacentral:rRNA from 1 species
UUUAACACAUUGUUUUUGCGAACAAAAAAAUAAAUUUUUUUAUUCGAAUUUCUUAAUAUCAAAACUUUCAACAACGGAUCUCUUGGUUCUCGCAUCGAUGAAGAACGCAGCGAAUUGCGAUACGUAGUAUGACUUGCAGACGUGAAUCAUCGAAUCUUUGAACGCACAUUGCGCCUCGAGGCAUUCCUCGAGGCAUGCCUGUUUGAGCGUCGCAUCCCCUCUAACCCCCGGUUAGGCGUUGCUCCGAAAUAUCAACCGCGCUGUCAAACACGUUUACAGCACGACAUUUCGCCCUCAAAUCAGGUAGGACUACCCGCUGAACUUAAGCAUAUCAAUAAGCGGAGGAAAUGAUCUUCCCUUGUCAU